CGGGUGCGUAACGCGUAGGCAACCUGCCCUCGGAUGGGGAACAACCACGGGAAACCGUGGCUAAUACCACAUAACAUCCACUGGUCGCAUGGCCGGUGGAUCAAAGCCUUAGGGUGUCCGGGGUGGGCCUGCGUCGGAUUAGGUAGUUGGUGAGGUAACGGCUCACCAAGCCUACGAUCCGUAGCUGGUCUGAGAGGAUGAUCAGCCACACUGGCACUGAGACACGGGCCAG
rnacentral:rRNA from 1 species